rnacentral:tRNA from 1 species
ACUCACUUAGCUCAGUAGGUUAGAGCAGGAAUCUUAUACAUUCAAGGUCAAUGGUUCAAGUCCAUUAGUGAGUAC